rnacentral:rRNA from 1 species
AUGCAGAGCUGGGAUGACCAGUUCGUGGCCGUGCACGACGGGUUCAAGGUGCUCAAGCUUCGGUACAAGAUGGUGGACGCGUUCCUGACGCGUGAUCCCAGGAAGCCCGCCCCAUUCUUUCCGAAGAGUGCUCCGCUCCUCCGUCCUGAUCGAUUCUCUCAUGCCGCUUCACCUUCCCGCCAUGGUUCCUACGGCCGCGCCGGUCCGUAUCCGUACUCCAGCGGACAUCCAAACGCAUCUUCCAGCCUCGCCGACCCGUACGGCGACAUUAACACGUAUUCAACCGCGUCCUCCAGCUCCACACAGUUCUCCUUGUGCAUCUUCCUCCCGGACGCCGACGACGGCCUGCGCAGCCUGGUCGACGCGAUCGCUUCACGGCCGGGCUUCCUGCACGACCACCUGCCUCGCCGGAAGGUCGAGGUCGGCGAGUUCCGGGUGCCCAGGUUCAAGCUGUCCUUCCACGACAGCGUGGUCGACGUCCUCAAGGAGUUGGGCCUCAGCCUGCCGUUCAGCCCGCUGGGCGACCUGUCCGACAUGACGGGGCCCGACGACUCCGGCUUCGGAAUGGUCGUGGACGAAGUCGUCCACAAGGCGGUGAUCGAGGUGAACGAGGAGGGCACGGAGGCCGCGGCCGUCACCAUGGUUACUGACCGAUAUGGCUGCGCGGCCAGGUACAGUCCGCCGCGGCGGGUGGAUUUCGUCGCUGAUCAUCCGUUUGCCUACUUCAUCGUGGAGGAGGAGACCGGCGCCGUCGUCUUCGCCGGCCAUGUCGUUGACCCCUCGAGAGAAAGUUAG